rnacentral:lncRNA from 1 species
GCUGGCUGCAGCCACUAUGGAGUCUCCUCGUUUCAUAUGGUGCUUAGUGCCCCGGGGCAAUAGCUGUUUAAAGAACAAAGAUGAUCAGACAAUACCUCAUAUCGAAGUUGAAAAUAAAAUUUAAAUAAUUAAAUUUAUAACUCCAAUCAUAUUUAAAUGGUUAAUUUCAAUUAUCGAAAAAAAAUCAUAAUCAGUCAUUCAGUCUGUUCAACCAUGCGGAAAGUCAUUUUUUGAUUGGGUCAAUUCUUAAGCUAAAAUCCAUUUGUUAUAUUCUCUAAAUAUAUGAUUAUAAAAAAAAAAUUAUAAGUCUAUAAUGAGUAAAAGAAUGUUCAAAUUAUCAGCUCAUGGAAGAGUUGGAAACAACUCACAAGAAGCGCCGCAGGCCGCAGUCCUAUUCAGCUAAAGCAUUAGUGUCCUUCAUUGGCACGAUCCUCUUGACUAACCAAAUGCAGAGUACAGCCUUUUUUUU